GGUAGUUUUAGAUUAAUUUGCAAUUAAUUAAAAUGGAUAUCCAUACUAUA
rnacentral:tRNA from 1 species